rfam:Parvularcula bermudensis HTCC2503 strain HTCC2503, complete genome.
GAUCAAGUGUCAAAAGGGCGUCCGGGGGAUGCCUUGGCAGAUACAGGCGAUGAAGGACGUGGCAUGCUGCGAAAAGCUUCGGGGAGGUGCAAGCACCCUUUGAUCCGAAGAUGUCCGAAUGGGGAAACCCACCUUUGAGCCUUCUUUGUCCAGCGCAGCUGUCCGUUUUCGGACGGGUGGCGGCUGGGCUGCAUUAAGAGGGUUCUGAAAAAGGUAUCUUUAUCCUGAAUAUAUAGGGACUAAGAGGCGAACGCGGGGAACUGAAACAUCUCAGUACCCGUAGGAAAGGAAAUCAACCGAGACUCCGCUAGUAGUGGCGAGCGAACGCGGACCAGGCCGUGCUUGGAAAAAACUGGAAGCCAUUGGAAUAGGCGCCAUAGAGGGUGACAGCCCCGUACAGGUAAUAUGAAGAGCCGUUAGAGUAGGGCGGGGCACGUGAAACCCUGUCUGAAUUUGGGGGGACCACCCUCCAAGCCUAAGUACUCGUAUCUGACCGAUAGUGAACAAGUACCGUGAGGGAAAGGUGAAAAGCACCCCUAAAAGGGGAGUGAAACAGUACCUGAAACCGGAUGCCUACAAGCAGUCGGAGCACCUUUUGGUGUGACGGCGUACCUUUUGUAUAAUGGGUCAGCGACUUAGUCUCUCGAGCAGCUUAAGCCGAUAGGUGUAGGCACAGCGAAAGCGAGUCUUAAUAGGGCGUUUGUUCGAGGGAUUAGACCCGAAACCCGGUGAUCUAGAUAUGAGCAGGCUGAAGGUGCGGUAACACGCACUGAAGGGCCGAACCCACACCUGUUGAAAAAGGUCGGGAUGACUUGUGUCUAGGGGUGAAAGGCCAAUCAAACCGGGAGAUAGCUGGUUCUCCGCGAAAUCUAUUUAGGUAGAGCGUCAUCUGAAUACCCUCGGGGGUAGAGCACUGGAUGGGCUAUGGGGGCUUACCGCCUUACUGAUCCUAACCAAACUCCGAAUACCGAGGAGUACUGGGUGGCAGACACACGGCGAAUGCUAACGUCCGUCGUGGAGAGGGAAACAACCCUGACCGGCAGCUAAGGUCCCCAAGUCAUGGCUAAGUGGGAAAGGAUGUAGGAAUCCCAAAACAACCAGGAGGUUGGCUUAGAAGCAGCCAUCCUUUAAAGAAAGCGUAACAGCUCACUGGUCUAAUUAAGGGUUCCCGCGCCGAAAAUGUAACGGGGCUCAAGCCAUGCACCGAAGCUCCGGGCGUUUACGCGGUAGCGGAGCGUUCCGGGAACGAGACCACCCCUAUUCUCGACAGUAUUCCGUCUUAACCAGCCGGAGCCGUCGAGAAUAUUGUUCAGCAUAGGGGUGAUCUUUCAGUGAAGCCGGCCCGUGAGGGAUCCGGUGGAGAGAACGGAAGUGAGAAUGCUGACACGAGUAGCGACAGGAGUGUGAGAAUCACUCCCGCCGAAAGUCCAAGGGUUCCUGCGUAAAGCUAAUCUGCGCAGGGUUAGCCGGCCCCUAAGGCGAGGGCGAAAGCCGUAGUCGAUGGGAACACUGUUAAUAUUCAGUGGCCAGUGGAUGUGUGACGGAUCUGAGAGCUCGUCGUCCUUAUUGGAUUGGGCGGCGUUGGUAAGGGUCCCUGGAAAUAGCCUCCACAUUAGACCGUACCCUAAACCGACACAGGUGGACUGGUAGAGCAUACCAAGGCGCUUGAGAGAACUGCGUUGAAGGAACUCGGCAAAUUACUCCCGUAAGUUCGCGAGAAGGGAGCCUCAUCAUGAAGAUGAGGGGCACAGACCAGGGGGUGGCGACUGUUUACUAAAAACAUAGGGCUCUGCGAAGUCGCAAGACGACGUAUAGGGUCUGACGCCUGCCCGGUGCCGGAAGGUUAAGAGGAGGUGUGCAAGCACCGAAUUGAAGCCCCGGUAAACGGCGGCCGUAACUAUAACGGUCCUAAGGUAGCGAAAUUCCUUGUCGGGUAAGUUCCGACCUGCACGAAUGGCGUAACGACUUCCCCACUGUCUCCAACGCAGACUCAGCGAAACUGAAUUCUCCGUGAAGAUGCGGAGUACCCGCGGUCAGACGGAAAGACCCCGUGCACCUUUACUACAGCUUUGCACUGGCAUUAGUGACACCAUGUGUAGGAUAGGCGGGAGGCUUUGAAAUCCGGGCGCCAGCUCGGAUGGAGCCGUUGGUGAAAUACCGCCCUUGUUGUCAUUGAUGUCUAACCGCGGCCCGUUAUCCGGGUCCGGGACCGUGCAUGGUGGGUAGUUUGACUGGGGCGGUCGCCUCCUAAAUUGUAACGGAGGCGCGCGAAGGUUGGCUCAGAGCGGUCGGAAAUCGCUCGUUGAGUGCAAUGGCAUAAGCCAGCCUGACUGCGAGACUGACAAGUCGAGCAGAGUCGAAAGACGGCCAUAGUGAUCCGGUGGUCCCGUGUGGAAGGGCCAUCGCUCAACGGAUAAAAGGUACGCCGGGGAUAACAGGCUGAUGACGCCCAAGAGUCCAUAUCGACGGCGUUGUUUGGCACCUCGAUGUCGGCUCAUCGCAUCCUGGGGCUGGAGCAGGUCCCAAGGGUUUGGCUGUUCGCCAAUUAAAGCGGUACGUGAGCUGGGUUUAGAACGUCGUGAGACAGUUCGGUCCCUAUCUGCCGUGGGAGUUGGAAACUUGAGAGGAGCUGUCCUUAGUACGAGAGGACCGGGAUGGACGUACCUCUGGUGGACCUGUUGUGGCGCCAGCCGCAUAGCAGGGUAGCUAUGUACGGAACGGAUAACCGCUGAAAGCAUCUAAGCGGGAAGCCGCCCUCAAUACCAGGUUUCCCUGAGAGCCGUGGAAGACCACCACGUUGAUAGGCCAGAUGUGGAAGCGCAGUGAUGCGUGAAGCUGACUGGUACUAAUUGCUCGAUAGGCUUGAUCGU